CGCUUGGCAUAAAAUGUUGCGAAAUCGGCCAAACUGCCGAUCAUGAAGUUCAGCGGUCUUGCCCAUGAGCAUAGAAAAAAUUCAAGAUGGCGGCGAUUAGGAGUGAAUUGCAAAAUCUGUUAGGGCGAAUUUUUCAUCUUGUGAAAUAGAAAACUGUUGUGGAUUAUUGCGGAAACAAUCGAUGGGGACUGGUCAAUGUGCGAAACAAACCUUCAAUGAGAAAAUCACGUUCGAAUUAACAGAUUGGCAAAGGCAAACUGGUCAAUUUCUUUCUGUUGACAUAUGUUAAAAUACUUCUUGUAUAAGAUUUAAUUAAGUGAUAUCGAAUGGAUUUUGCUCAGGCGACGUAAAAUAAAGAUAACAGCUAAAACGAAAGUUUACAUAGACCUACCGCUCAGUGUCAGGAGGCUUGUCUAAUCUCUUAAUUUCGCAGUCUACUAGUGUUGGCUUAAUCAAUAUAUAAGGAUGGAUAAUUUGUAAGCAACUAUAUUGAAUUUUUGAAAGCUUUCACACAUUGAAAGGAAUUACAGUAUCAUGUCUGUGCUAACAGUUGAAACAGUUAUAAAUAUUUUUGAAUUAUGUACUGUACAUGUUAAUAAAGAUAACUUGAAGUAUUCUAUAUUCACUAGCAUGUCAUAUUUCUAACUUUCUGGUCUUUAUUUAGCAUACAGUAUCUCACACAUACUACCAGUAAUAUGGCUGACAUACUAAGUAACUACGGAGAAAGGUGACAAAUUUCUCUUUUGGUACAUGCAGUUAAAAGUGUUUUUAGUGACUGUAUGUAACCCAUUAUGACUGCCUGUGUAUCAGUAUGUGACAGGCAUUUUACUGGUAUGUGUAUAUUAUUUGAACUUCCUGCAUUGGCAAAGUACUUUGAUUUGUAUAUUAAUAAAUUAUAUGAUAUACACCAUGACUUUGUAUCCAUUGAUGUUCAUACUUCCACAACCAGGGUGCUUAACCCAUUAAGUGGCAGAGCUUCCCCAUUGACGAGUAAAAUUGUCUGGCGUUAGAAAAGUAAAAAAAUAGAUGGGGCGCAUUGCGGUUCAAUGGGUUAACACAUAAAAGAACACACACAGAAGAAAACCCAUAUGAAUGUGUUGUUUACAUGUGCAGGAAAUGUUCACAUGUGAUCAAUUCAAAAAGACUAAAAUAAUACACACUGGAUAAAAAAGUUUAUGAAUUUGUUAUUCCAUGGUCAAAUGUUUAGUACACUAAUGAACAUAAGGAACAAUACUGGGAACAAUAUUUGCCAAUAGUCCUGGUAAAAAUAUUUAUUAGACCUGACAAUUUAAUUGAGAACACUAUUUGCAAUCAAAUAAUAAUACAUUUUUAAUUAGAUCAACCCUCACUUGCACUUGGCAAUUACUGACAGGGUUAAUAUUACAGUCAUAGUCAAUCUUAAUACACAUAUAGUUCAGUAUAGUAGGCAGGAAUAAGCCAAAGUCAGUGACACAUUAUUUCACAAUAUUCUGCCAUUAGUAAAUAAACUUUGCCUUGCAAGACCUAGAAGAAAAUGGUAAAGGUUUAGAGAUUAAAAAUCUUGCAUCACUAUAGCUGAUAAACCCAAUAUUGUUACAGUACGGUAACUGUCUUUAAGGGUAAAUUUAAAUAUCUGACUGAUAUAAGACAAAAAUAACAAAGUAGCCCGAUUGCUACGGGUAUAGCCUGUAAACACGACUGUCUUUGGGGCACAUCACAUAUCUACUCAGUAUCGCAUAUACAAAACAAGCAAAUGACUGAUGGUGACACUGGGAAACACUGCGGCUUACUGAGUUAACACAAAAGGUGGACCGACAGUCCAUGGAUGUAUUGUGGCUGUAUCAUUGGUAUAUAAAAACAUAAGCCUCACAUGGGUGGUUUUCCUUGCUACUUUCAGAACUUAAAUCAUUAAGCGCCAGCCCUCUCCCCUUGACAAGUAAAAUCGUCUGCUGUUAGACAGAGCAAAAUAAUAAAGUAGGGCGCAUCAGGGCGCAGUGCGACUCAAUGGGUUAACUAGACACAUAGACAUAUAAGCCUGUCAACCAUUAAGUGCCAGCCCUCUCUGUUGACAAGUUAACUUGUCUGCCGUUAGAUAAAGACUGACAGAGUAAAAUAAUAACAUAGGGUGCAUCAGGGUGCAAUGUGACUCAAUGCACUAUAACUACAGUAGACACAAAGACAUAUAGGGUAGUUAAUCAUUAAGUCGUUUAAGCACCAGUGCUCUCCCCUUGACAAGUAAAAUGGUCUGCCGUUAGACAGAGUAAAAUAAUAAAGUAGGGCGCAUCAGGGCGCAGUGCAACUCAAUGGGUUAACUAGACACACAGACAUAUAAGCUUGUCAACCAUUAAGCGCCAGCCCUCUCUGUUGACAAGUUAACUUGUCUGCCGUUAGAUAGAGACUGACAGAGUAAAAUAAUAACAUAGGGUGCAUCAGGGUGCAAUGUGAGUCAAUGCACUAACUAGACAUAAAGACAUAUAGGGUAGUUAAUCAUUAAGCCGUUUAAGCACCAAUGCUCUCUCCUUGACAAGUAAAAUCGUCUGCCGUUAGACAGAGUAAAAUAAUAAAGUAGGGCGCAUCGGGGCGCAGUGCGACUCAAUAGAUUAACUAGACACAUAGACAUAUAAGCUAGUUAACUAUUAAGCGCCAGCGCUCUCUGUUGACAAGUUAACUUGUCUGCUGGUAGAUAGAGACUGACAGAGUAAAAUAAUAACAUAGGGUGCAAUGUAACUCAAUGCACUAACUAGACACAUAGACAUAUAGGCUAGUUAACCAAUUAAGCUGCGCCAGCACUCUCCCCUUGACAAGUAAAAUCGUCUGGCG